AUUGAACGCUGGCGGCAGGCCUAACACAUGCAAGUCGAGCGGAUGAAGGGAGCUUGCUCCUGGAUUCAGCGGCGGACGGGUGAGUAAUGCCUAGGAAUCUGCCUGGUAGUGGGGGAUAACGUCCGGAAACGGGCGCUAAUACCGCAUACGUCCUGAGGGAGAAAGUGGGGGAUCUUCGGACCUCACGCUAUCAGAUGAGCCUAGGUCGGAUUAGCUAGUUGGUGGGGUAAAGGCCUACCAAGGCGACGAUCCGUAACUGGUCUGAGAGGAUGAUCAGUCACACUGGAACUGAGACACGGUCCAGACUCCUACGGGAGGCAGCAGUGGGGAAUAUUGGACAAAGGGCGAAAGCCUGAUCCAGCCAUGCCGCGUGUGUGAAGAAGGUCUUCGGAUUGUAAAGCACUUUAAGUUGGGAGGAAGGGCAGUAAGUUAACACCUUGCUGUUUUGACGUUACCAACAGAAUAAGCACCGGCUAACUUCGUG
rnacentral:rRNA from 1 species